rnacentral:rRNA from 1 species
CAGCCGCCACGGUAAUACGUAGGGUGCGAGCGUUAAUCGGAAUUACUGGGCGUAAAGCGUGCGCAGGCGGUUCGUUAAGACAGAUGUGAAAUCCCCGGGCUUAACCUGGGAACUGCAUUUGUGACUGGCGAGCUAGAGUAUGGCAGAGGGGGAUGGAAUUCCGCGUGUAGCAGUGAAAUGCGUAGAUAUGCGGAGGAACACCGAUGGCGAAGGCAGCCCCCUGGGCCAACACUGGCGCUCAUGCACGAAAGCGUGGGGAGCAAACAGGAUUAGAUACCCCCGUAGUCCCUGUCUCUUAUAC